GGGUUGUGAGGUUAAGCGACUAAGCGUACACGGUGGAUGCCCUGGCAGUCAGAGGCGAUGAAGGACGUGCUAAUCUGCGAAAAGCGUCGGUAAGGUGAUAUGAACCGUUAUAGCCGGCGAUGUCCGAAUGGGGAAACCCAGUGUGAUUCGUCACACUAUCGUUAACUGAAUACAUAGGUUAACGAGGCGAACCGGGGGAACUGAAACAUCUAAGUACCCCGAGGAAAAGAAAUCAACCGAGAUUCCCCCAGUAGCGGCGAGCGAACGGGGAGCAGCCCAGAGUCUGAAUCAGCUUGUGUGUUAGUGGAACGGUCUGGAAAGUCCGACGGUACAGGGUGAUAGUCCCGUACACCAAAAUGCACAGGCUGUGAACUCGAAGAGUAGGGCGGGACACGUGGUAUCCUGUCUGAAUAUGGGGGGACCAUCCUCCAAGGCUAAAUACUCCUGACUGACCGAUAGUGAACCAGUACCGUGAGGGAAAGGCGAAAAGAACCCCGGCGAGGGGAGUGAAAAAGAACCUGAAACCGUGUACGUACAAGCAGUGGGAGCACCUUCGGGUGUGACUGCGUACCUUUUGUAUAAUGGGUCAGCGACUUAUAUUCUGUAGCAAGGUUAACCGUAUAGGGGAGCCGCAGGGAAACCGAGUCUUAACUGGGCGUUAAGUUGCAGGGUAUAGACCCGAAACCCGGUGAUCUAGCCAUGGGCAGGUUGAAGGUUGGGUAACACUAACUGGAGGACCGAACCGACUAAUGUUGAAAAAUUAGCGGAUGACUUGUGGCUGGGGGUGAAAGGCCAAUCAAACCGGGAGAUAGCUGGUUCUCCCCGAAAGCUAUUUAGGUAGCGCCUCGUGAAUUCAUCUUCGGGGGUAGAGCACUGUUUCGGCUAGGGGGUCAUCCCGACUUACCAACCCGAUGCAAACUACGAAUACCGAAGAAUGUUAUCACGGGAGACACACGGCGGGUGCUAACGUCCGUCGUGAAGAGGGAAACAACCCAGACCGCCAGCUAAGGUCCCAAAGUCAUGGUUAAGUGGGAAACGAUGUGGGAAGGCACAGACAGCCAGGAUGUUGGCUUAGAAGCAGCCAUCAUUUAAAGAAAGCGUAAUAGCUCACUGGUCGAGUCGGCCUGCGCGGAAGAUGUAACGGGGCUAAACCAUGCACCGAAGCUGCGGCAGCGACACUAUGUGUUGUUGGGUAGGGGAGCGUUCUGUAAGCCUGCGAAGGUGUGCUGUGAGGCAUGCUGGAGGUAUCAGAAGUGCGAAUGCUGACAUAAGUAACGAUAAAGCGGGUGAAAAGCCCGCUCGCCGGAAGACCAAGGGUUCCUGUCCAACGUUAAUCGGGGCAGGGUGAGUCGACCCCUAAGGCGAGGCCGAAAGGCGUAGUCGAUGGGAAACAGGUUAAUAUUCCUGUACUUGGUGUUACUGCGAAGGGGGGACGGAGAAGGCUAUGUUAGCCGGGCGACGGUUGUCCCGGUUUAAGCAUGUAGGCUGAUUGUCCAGGCAAAUCCGGAUAAUCAAGGCUGAGGUGUGAUGACGAGGCACUACGGUGCUGAAGUAACAAAUGCCCUGCUUCCAGGAAAAGCCUCUAAGCAUCAGGUAACAUCAAAUCGUACCCCAAACCGACACAGGUGGUCAGGUAGAGAAUACCAAGGCGCUUGAGAGAACUCGGGUGAAGGAACUAGGCAAAAUGGUGCCGUAACUUCGGGAGAAGGCACGCUGGUGUGUAGGUGAAGUCCCUGCGGAUGGAGCUGAGACCAGUCGAAGAUACCAGCUGGCUGCAACUGUUUAUUAAAAACACAGCACUGUGCAAACACGAAAGUGGACGUAUACGGUGUGACGCCUGCCCGGUGCCGGAAGGUUAAUUGAUGGGGUUAUCCGUAAGGAGAAGCUCUUGAUCGAAGCCCCGGUAAACGGCGGCCGUAACUAUAACGGUCCUAAGGUAGCGAAAUUCCUUGUCGGGUAAGUUCCGACCUGCACGAAUGGCGUAAUGAUGGCCAGGCUGUCUCCACCCGAGACUCAGUGAAAUUGAACUCGCUGUGAAGAUGCAGUGUACCCGCGGCAAGACGGAAAGACCCCGUGAACCUUUACUAUAGCUUGACACUGAACAUUGAGCCUUGAUGUGUAGGAUAGGUGGGAGGCUUUGAAGCGUGGACGCCAGUCUGCGUGGAGCCAACCUUGAAAUACCACCCUUUAAUGUUUGAUGUUCUAACGUUGGCCCCUGACCGGGGUUGCGGACAGUGUCUGGUGGGUAGUUUGACUGGGGCGGUCUCCUCCCAAAGCGUAACGGAGGAGCACGAAGGUUAGCUAAUCCUGGUCGGACAUCAGGAGGUUAGUGCAAUGGCAUAAGCUAGCUUGACUGCGAGCGUGACGGCGCGAGCAGGUGCGAAAGCAGGUCAUAGUGAUCCGGUGGUUCUGAAUGGAAGGGCCAUCGCUCAACGGAUAAAAGGUACUCCGGGGAUAACAGGCUGAUACCGCCCAAGAGUUCAUAUCGACGGCGGUGUUUGGCACCUCGAUGUCGGCUCAUCACAUCCUGGGGCUGAAGUAGGUCCCAAGGGUAUGGCUGUUCGCCAUUUAAAGUGGUACGCGAGCUGGGUUUAGAACGUCGUGAGACAGUUCGGUCCCUAUCUGCCGUGGGCGCUGGAGAAUUGAGGGGGGCUGCUCCUAGUACGAGAGGACCGGAGUGGACGCAUCACUGGUGUUCGGGUUGUCAUGCCAAUGGCACUGCCCGGUAGCUAAAUGCGGAAGAGAUAAGUGCUGAAAGCAUCUAAGCACGAAACUUGCCCCGAGAUGAGUUCUCCCUGAGACUUUAAGUCUCCUGAAGGAACGUUGAAGACGACGACGUUGAUAGGCCGGGUGUGUAAGCGCAGCGAUGCGUUGAGCUAACCGGUACUAAUGAACCGUGAGGCUUAACCUUACAACGCCGAAG
rnacentral:rRNA from 1 species